rnacentral:rRNA from 1 species
AACGAACGCUGGCGGCAUGCCUAACACAUGCAAGUCGAACGCUCGUAGCAAUACGGGAGUGGCAGACGGGUGCGUAACGCGUGGGAACCUGCCCAGAGGUUCGGAAUAACUGCGGGAAACUGCAGCUAAUACCGAAUGUUGCCUGAGGGCUAAAGGAGUAAUUCGCCUUUGGAGGGCCCGCGUCCGAUUAGCUAGUUGGUGGGGUAAUGGCCUACCAAGGCGACGAUCGGUAGCUGGUCUGAGAGGAUGACCAGCCACACUGGAACUGAGACACGGUCCAGACUCCUACGGGAGGCAGCAGUGGGGAAUAUUGGACAAUGGGGGAAACCCUGAUCCAGCAAUGCCGCGUGGGUGAUGAAGGCCUCGGUUGUAAGCCUUUUGGCGGGG